UACGUAGGGGGCGAGCGUUGUCCGGAUUUAUUGGGCGUAAAGAGCGUGUAGGCGGCCAGGUAGGUCCGUUGUGAAAACUCGAGGCUCAACCUCGAGACGUCGGCGGAAACCCUCUGGCUAGAGUCCGGAAGAGGAGAGUGGAAUUCCUGGUGUAGCGGUGAAAUGCGCAGAUAUCAGGAAGAACACCCGUGGCGAAGGCGGUCUCUGGACGGUACUGACGCUGAGACGCGAAAGCGUGGGGAGCGAACAGG
rnacentral:rRNA from 1 species